rnacentral:rRNA from 1 species
UACGUAGGGGGCAAGCGUUUGUCCGGAUUUAUUGGGCGUAAAGCGCGUGUAGGCGGCCCGGUAAGUCCGCUGUGAAAGUCGGGGGCUCAACCCUCGGAUGCCGGUGGAUACUGUCGGGCUCGAGUACGGAAGAGGCGAGUGGAAUUCCUGGUGUAGCGGUGAAAUGCGCAGAUAUCAGGAGGAACACCAAUUGCGAAGGCAGCUCGCUGGGACGUUACUGACGCUGAGACGCGAAAGCGUGGGGAGCAAAACAGG